AGCGAACGUUAGCGGCUGGCCUAACACAUGCAAGUCGAACGAGAAUGUAGGCUUCGGUCUACUAGUAAAGUGGCGGACGGGUGCGUAACACGUGGGUAAUCUACCUUCCGGCGGGGGACAACAGUCCGAAAGGAUUGCUAAUACCGCGUACGUCAGCGGCGCCUACGGGCGCUGUUGGGAAAGAUGGCCUCUCCUUGGAAGCUGUCACCGGAGGAUGAGCCCGCGUCCCAUCAGCUAGUUGGUGAGGUAAUGGCUCACCAAGGCUAAGACGGGAAGCUGGGCUGAGAGGAGAGUCGGCGACACUGGGACUGCGACACGGCCCAGACUCCUACGGGAGGCAGCAGUGUGGAAUAUUGGGCAAUGGGCGAAAGCCUGACCCAGCCACGCCGCGUGAGUGAUGAAGGCCUUCGGGUCGUAAAGCUCUGUGGGGAGGGACGAACAAAUCUGGGGCUAAUCACCCGGGUCCUGACGGUACCUCCUUAGCAAGCACCGGCUAACCCUGUGCCAGCCGCCGCCGUAUAC
rnacentral:rRNA from 1 species